GAUGUGGAAAGCUUUGUGGUCGGCUUUGGAGGUGGCGACAUCAUCGACGGUUAUGAAACUCUUGAAGAUUGACACAGGAGGAAGAAGAAUGGAAGUCUAUGGGAGAAAAUAGAAUCUGGAGGAGAAUGACAGGCUGCUCAGCAAAAGCUUAACAGGAGGAUUGACGAUUAUGCGGAUUUUAGACACUGUCUGUUAACCUACUAAUAGAAUGUGACUGCAUUGCGCGUGGCAUUCAGCAGUAACCAAUCAAAUGAUGGCUUAAACGCGUGAACAGACAACAACACUAUAUAACCUGCGGUUUCGCUUAAUAAAGGGUCUUCUGAUCAAUAUUCACGAAUCCGUGCACUUAAUCUCCUCACCAGGAGGUGUCAGCCUCUCCUGCCGCUGCCUGGACGCACGCACUUGCAGGAGGUGUAAGGCAGGGGUUGCUUAGCACUUACAGCUGUGACUAGGAUUAGAUUCACCCUGGUGCUAAGCUGAACCCAUGAGACGGACAGUUGUCCCUGUUUCCAGCAGAGCGACGCGACCAAGUUUCAGAGGCAGCAAAUUACCCCGACCCCCGGAGCAAAGCGAGAAGCCGCAGGAGGUGGGAAGGGGAACCAUGACUUCCUUUUGGGCCUUCAACUAGGACAAGAUGAUAUUUGCAUUCGUGCAAGUCCUGUUUUCCCCCUAAACAAGAAUGAGCCCUAAAUAAGAUUGUAGGAGCCAAGCAACGUGUGUGCAGUGCUAGGGACUCAUGCUUCGCUCGGGCUGUCUAAAUAAUAUAGCGCCCUGCCUAAGUCAGGGACGUGGCGGGGUUAUAGAACAGCUGUACAUACAUCGUCUCUCCAGAGGGCAUUUGUCCAAGGGUGCUCCAUUCUCCACCACAUCUUCAUCACUUCAGCUUCCUUGGGGCAGAUAGGAGCCCAAGCGAGGAAACUGGAACACAAACAAGUUCAGAGCCAAAAAUACCACUGUCCCCCAGGCACCCGUUAUUAAAUGAUUUCUGCCAGGGGGAUUGGACGAGAAUUGUGCUGUGGUGGCUGGACGCGUAGAAAAUCCAUACGCAAUUCGUACCCUUUUACCGGCUCUCCAAGGGGUUGGGGCGCCUCUGGACUUGCCCAGAAAUGUUUCCCCAAAUGCAGUAGCGUUGCCCACUGGCCUUUCCGACCGCUUGAGAGCUGGGGCAGGAAAAUGUGCGCGGUGAUCACACUGCGGGGCAGCCUGCACAAGGAGACAGCCACCCUACAGGAGGAUAAAAGAGAAAAACCCCAUCCCCUCUUCUCUGAUAUGAGGACAACUUCUCUGUGA
rnacentral:lncRNA from 1 species